GGGGGUGUAGCUCAACUGACUAGAGCACUCGGCUCUUAACCGAUAGGUUCUGGGUUUGAAUCCCAGUGCCCCUACCA
rnacentral:tRNA from 1 species